rnacentral:rRNA from 1 species
AGGUGGUGCAUGGCUGUCGUCAGCUCGUGUCGUGAGAUGUUGGGUUAAGUCCCGCAACGAGCGCAACCCUCGUCCUAUGUUGCCAGCACGUCGUGGUGGGGACUCAUAGGAGACUGCCGGGGUCAACUCGGAGGAAGGUGGGGAUGACGUCAAGUCAUCAUGCCCCUUAUGUCCAGGGCUUCACGCAUGCUACAAUGGCCGGUACAAAGGGCUGCGAUCCCGUAAGGGGGAGCGAAUCCCAAAAAGCCGGUCUCAGUUCGGAUUGGGGUCUGCAACUCGACCCCAUGAAGUCGGAGUCGCUAGUAAUCGCAGAUCAGCAACGCUGCGGUGAAUACGUUCCCGGGCCUUGUACACACCGCCCGUCACGUCACGAAAGUCGGCAACACCCGAAGCCGGUGGCCCAACCCCUUGUGGGAGGGAGCCGUCGAAGGUGGGGCUGGCGAUUGGACG